GUACUCUCACACUCCCACUCGUUUGGAUUGGGAGCGGUGGACUUGGGUGUUGCUGCUUUGCUGUGGCUCACCUCAAAUGGAGUAGUGCAACUCUCGGUUGGACAUAGUACGGCGUGAUAAGUAUCUUCGCCGGCGCCUCACUCGAGGGUGGCCGAUCGGGAGCUCUGUGCUUCAAACCGUCUUCGGGCAAUCUCUGACA
rnacentral:misc_RNA from 1 species